UACGGAGGAUGCGAGCGUUAUCCGGAUUUAUUGGGUUUAAAGGGUGCGCAGGCGGUCUGUUAAGUCAGCGGUCAAAGCCCGGGGCUCAACCCCGGAACUGCUUUUAAAACUGCUGUGCUUGAGUGAUGGAGAGGAAAGCGGAAUUCCUAGUGUAGCGGUGGAAUGCGUAGAUAUUAGGAGGAACACCAGAGGCGAAGGCGGCUUUCUGGACAUUAACUGACGCUGAGGCUCGAAAGCGUGGGGAGCAAACAGG
rnacentral:rRNA from 1 species